UACAGAGGGUGCGAGCGUUAAUCGGAAUUACUGGGCGUAAAGCGCGCGUAGGCGGCUUUGCAAGUCGGGUGUGAAAUCCCCAGGCUUAACCUGGGAACUGCAUUCGAGACUGCAUUGCUAGAGUAUGGGAGAGGGAAGUGGAAUUUCCGGUGUAGCGGUGAAAUGCGUAGAUAUCGGAAGGAACAUCAGUGGCGAAAGCGACUUCCUGGACCAAUACUGACGC
rnacentral:rRNA from 1 species